UACGAAGGGGGGCUAGCGUUGCUCGGAAUUACUGGGCGUAAAGCGCACGUAGGCGGCUUUCUAAGUCGGGGGUGAAAUCCUGGAGCUCAACUCCAGAACUGCCUUCGAUACUGGAGAGCUUGAGUCCGGGAGAGGUGAGUGGAACUGCGAGUGUAGAGGUGAAAUUCGUAGAUAUUCGCAAGAACACCAGUGGCGAAAGGCGGC
rnacentral:rRNA from 1 species